rnacentral:rRNA from 1 species
AAGCGUUAUCCGGAUUCACUGGGUUUAAAGGGUGCGUAGGUGGGCAGGUAAGUCAGUGUGAAAUCUCCGGGCUUAACUCGGAAACUGCCAUUGAUACUAUCUUUCUUGAAUACCGUGGAGGUCAGCGGAAUAUGUCAUGUAGCGGUGAAAUGCUUAGAUAUGACAUAGAACACCAAUUGCGAAGGCAGCUGGCUACACGAAUAUUGACACUGAUGACACGAAAGCGUGGGGGAUCAA